AACGAACGCUGGCGGCAGGCUUAACACAUGCAAGUCGAGCGCCCCGCAAGGGGAGCGGCAGACGGGGUGAGUAACGCGUGGGAAUCUGCCCAUCUCUACGGAAUAACGCAUGGAAACGUGUCCUAAUACCGUAUACGUCCUUCGGUAGAAAGAUUUAUCGGAGAUGGAUGAGCCCGCGUUGGAUUAGCUAGUUGGUGGGGUAAAGGCCUACCAAGGCGACGAUCCAUAGCUGGUCUGAGAGGAUGAUCAGCAACACUGGGACUGAGACACGGCCCAGACUCCUACGGGAGGCAGCAGUGGGGAAUAUUGGACAAUGGGCGCAAGCCUGAUCCAGCCAUGCCGCGUGAGUGAUGAAGGCCCUAGGGUUGUAAAGCUCUUUCACCGGUGAAGAUAAUGACGGUAACCGGAGAAGAAGCCCCGGCUAACUUCGUGCCAGCCGCCGCAGUAAUAC
rnacentral:rRNA from 1 species